rnacentral:lncRNA from 1 species
GCGCAGGUGUUGUUGUGUGGGUCGGUUCGAAAGUUGUAAGAGCUAUUGUUUCAAGGUUUGAGAGCGCCUUUUUUCCGGUAACUCGCGGAAACUGUAUCAACCAUUCCACUCAUUCCUCGUCUAAGGACUUUCACUCCUGUUGGUGUCCGGUUCAAUUUUAGGAUUUGAUUUUCUUUCAUUUCAGUUUUUGGUUCCGUAAAAAAUCUUAAAAUUUUGGUACAAUAAUUUAACAUUUGACCAGAAUUUU